UUCUUAUCAAGAGAGGUGGAGGGACUGGCCCUUUGAAGCCUCGGCAACAGACUCGCAUGAGUACUGUGCCAAUUCCAGCAAGCAAUGCUUGAAGGAUAAGAA
rnacentral:ncRNA from 2 species